AACGAACGCUGGCGGCAUGCCUAACACAUGCAAGUCGAACGAGACCUUCGGGUCUAGUGGCGCACGGGUGCGUAACACGUGGGAAUUUGCCUCGGGGUAUGGAAUAACUCAGGGAAACUUGAGCUAAUACCAUAUAAUGUCUUCGGACCAAAGAUUUAUCGCCCUGAGAUAAGCCCGCGUAGGAUUAGCUAGUUGGUGGGGUAAAGGCUCACCAAGGCGACGAUCCUUAGCUGGUCUGAGAGGAUGAUCAGCCACACUGGGACUGAGACACGGCCCAGACUCCUACGGGAGGCAGCAGUGGGGAAUAUUGGACAAUGGGCGAAAGCCUGAUCCAGCAAUGCCGCGUGAGUGAUGAAGGCCUUCGGUUGGUAAAGGUACUCUUUUAC
rnacentral:rRNA from 1 species